CGCGAAAGCCCCCUUCGGGGGGCAAGUAGAGUGGCGCACGGGUGAGUAACACGUAGGUAAUCUACCUUUGGAUGGGGAAUAACCACCGGAAACGGUGGCUAAUACCGCAUAAUGCAGCGGCACCUAAUGGUGACAGUUGUUAAAGCGGGGGAUCGUAAGACCUCGCGUCUAAAGAGGAGCCUGCGGCGGAUUAGCUAGUUGGUAAGGUAAAAGCUUACCAAGGCGAUGAUCCGUAGCCGGCCUGUGAGGGCGGUCGGCCACACUGACACUGACAUACGGGUCAGACUCCUACGGGAGGCAGCAGUCGGGAAUUUUGGGCAAUGGGCGAAAGCCUGACCCAGCAACGCCGCGUGAAGGAUGAAAUCCUUCGGGAUGUAAACUUCGCAAGAACGGGAAGAAUAAGUGAGAGUUAAUAUCUCUUACGAUGACGGUACCGUUUGUAAGCUCCGGCUAACUCCGUGCCAGCAGCCGCGGUAAUACGGGGGGAGCAAGCGUUGUUCGGAUUUACUGGGCGUAAAGGGCGCGUAGGCGGCCACCGCAAGUCGACUGUGAAAUCUCCGGGCUUAACUCGGAAAGGUCAGCCGAUACUGCGGGGCUAGAGUGCAGAAGGGGCAACUGGAAUUCUCGGUGUAGCGGUGAAAUGCGUAGAUAUCGAGAGGAACACCUGCGGCGAAGGCGGGUUGCUGGGCUGACACUGACGCUGAGGCGCGAAAGCUAGGGGAGCGAAC
rnacentral:rRNA from 1 species